GCCAGGCAUGGUGGUGCAUGCCUGUAAUCCCAGCUACUCAGGAGGCUGAGGCAGGAGAAUCGCUUGAGCCCGGGAGGUGGAGGUUUCAGUGAGCCAAGAUUGUGCUACUGCACUCCAGCCUGGGUGACAGAGUGAGACUCUGUCUCAA
rnacentral:SRP_RNA from 1 species